CAGAUAUGACUAGCUAGCUGAGUGUACCUUUGUUGGAAAAUAAAGAUUCUUUCAAUAGAAAAUGUUAUGGGUUACAAAUCAAACAGAAUAGGGAAAGUAGAGAGAGAAGCUCUGUCUUCUCUUUAGACUUUCUCUUGCUAGGAGCCUCUGUUGAGAGUCGUCGGUGUGCUCCGUUCGUCUGUUGGAUGGCGUUGUCUAUCCCUCUGACGGUUUUGUCCGGACAGCCCCAUCUGGUUCUCCGGCAGCUGAGUCUGUUCUUUUUCUUCCCAAUUUCAUGUUUUCUUCUCCCUUUCUCCAGAUUUGGCCUCAUGCUAUCUCUCUACAACCUUCAAAAUCAAUCAUUGCAGGAAUCAUCGAAAUUCCUCGCCUUUCUCUUCAGAUCUACGGCCUCGGGCUCCUCAAGUUUGAAUCUCUCUAUUGUUAUUCAAUGCAUUACGAUAUGUAAGUUGUGAAAUAGAGGUGUACAGAGAUCAAGCAGCGUCUCCGGUGCAUGCACCGACACUUCUGUCUUUUUUACUUUCCUUGGGUCUUUGCGACGGCUCCAACAGCGUCUCUUCUGAUAGCUUUAGCAGUGAGUUCCAUGGUAGAUUUGAGGCUUGUGUUUGCAAGUGCUAUCUCAAUUCUACUUGGGUUGGUUGGUUUUUGAUUUUUGGGUUUUGUGGAAUGGCUAUUUCAGACUAGGAGCGGUUUUGGUCAUCAAAGCAAUUUUCCGUGCAGGCGUGUGGCAGUUUGUGGCGAUGACGCCAUUGAAAGUUUCAUCAAUGCCUAGGUUUUUGUAGGGUUUGUUUUUGAGAUGGGCCGUUUUGAUUUUCCUUUGUUGUUGUUAUGAGCUUGUAUUUUACUUCCUGAAUUUUGUAUUUGGGCUUGUAAUUUGCUAUGCUUAUUUGUCCGAAAAAAAAAUAAUGUUAUGGGUUUAAAUUGGCAUUGUAAUGCAACAGAAGAAUAGGCAUAAAAAGCUGUUGGGAAUUAAGAAAGGUCAUUCUAAACAGGUUGCUAGCAGUGCAGAGGCCUCAUCUUGCAAAACCUUCCAUGCUGCAGUCACAUGCUUCUCCUCAGUCAAUGGAGCUCCUACUGCAAAACGUAAUAUGUAUGCACCAGACAGGACCUGUAUGAUAAUUUUUCAACAGGUUCACGUUAUCAUAAUGAUCAUUUAGAAUCGAAACCAACACACAACAUCAAUGCGACUGGAGGUGUUUAAUUGUGAGCUUACCGUGUGAGAAAUGUAUAUCUUCCCUGUUGAAUUUACAGCAUCUAAUAGGUCAUGGUUCAAUUUGCUUGCACAGGCCUCAUUGCCAUGAGGAGGCAGAAGGCGGAAACAAACUAACGAAUAAAGUCGUGGAGUAACAAUCUGCCAGUUAUGGUGAAUUAUCAGCAAGAAGCAACAUAGUUGAAGAAGUCAAACGAGUUAAAAGAUAUAGCAGUCCAUAAUACAAUUCAUGGAGAAUAUGGUUACCUCAAACCUAGGGUCUUGAGCAACAAGCUCUUCGAAGUGUUUGGCCAAAUUAAUAUGGGUUCUUAUGUAGGACUGUAGGUUCUCUAAACCAUAAAGUCGUAACACCAUCCAUAGCUUCAAU
rnacentral:lncRNA from 1 species